rnacentral:lncRNA from 1 species
ACUCUGUGUCAAAUAGAAUUGAAGGCAAAAACAUUAAGAUUGGGUGAUUUUUUUUUUCAUCCUAGGGGAACCUGAUUUGAGAUCCAAUUCUUGGAGAGCACAGAGAAGUGUGGUGGUAUGUUCCAGGCCCUGAAAGAAGAUGGAGAUAUAGCAGGAAGAUAAAUUAUGUGGAAACUGGAGAAAAGGAAGGAAAGUAAUUGCAAUUUCAUAUGUGCCGAAAUUCUGGUGCACUUUGAGAAAUCCACCAAGUGUCUCAAAUGGCUUGAACCAGCUGCCCUUUGACCCUGCCAGCAACAACGAGCCCCUGCAAUUUGGUAGUGCCAGUGGCCCUCUGGUCACAGAAGGCCUCAUUGAGAAUGGAGGGGAGUCAAGCAAGAAAAGAAAGAGAACAAAUACUCCUUCAGGUAAGCUAGGUGAUAAUGAACUCUAAGUCAGUGCUAUUGAGUCAGCAUUUUCCCAGGGUU